GGACAUUCCACGUUUUCCGCGCCGUAGCUAACGCAUUAAGUGCCCCGCCUGGGGAGUACGGCCGCAAGGCUAAAACUCAAAGGAAUUGACGGGGGCCCGCACAAGCGGCGGAGCAUGCGGAUUAAUUCGAUGCAACGCGAAGAACCUUACCAAGGCUUGACAUGAACCGGAAAGACCUGGAAACAGGUGCCCCGCUUGCGGUCGGUUUACAGGUGGUGCAUGGUUGUCGUCAGCUCGUGUCGUGAGAUGUUGGGUUAAGUCCCGCAACGAGCGCAACCCUCGUUCUAUGUUGCCAGCACGUGAUGGUGGGGACUCAUAGGAGACUGCCGGGGUCAACUCGGA
rnacentral:rRNA from 1 species